rnacentral:snRNA from 1 species
GGAUGUUGAGGGCGAUCUGGCUGCGACAUCUGUCACCCCAUUGAUCGCCAGGGUUGAUUCGGCUGAUCUGGCUAGCUAGGGUGUCCCCUUCCUCCCUCACCGCUCCAUGUGCGUCCCUCCCGACAGCUUGCGCGCUCUGGUCGAAGAGGACGACCAUCCCGAUAGAGGAGGACCGUCUUCGGUCAAGGGUAUACGAGUAGCUGCGCUCCCCUGGUAGAACCUCCAAACAAGCUCUCAAGAACACCUUCUGGUUAGUGGUGGUAGUUAAAAGUGUUUGUGAUGUAAGUGAUAAUUAAAUCUGUUCCUAGUAUAUAUAUUCUUAUGGUUUAUUAGCUGCAUUU